rnacentral:rRNA from 1 species
UACAUGGGGUGCAAACGUUGCUCGGAAUUAUUGGGCGUAAAGCGCGCGUAGGCGGUUACUCAAGUCGGAUGUGAAAGCCCUCGGCUCAACUGGGGAGGGUCACGCGAUACUGAUCGACUCGAAGGCAGGAGAGGGUAGUGGAAUUCCCGGUGUAGUGGUGAAAUGCGUAGAUAUCUGGAGGAAUACCGGUGGCGAAGGCGGCAUCCUGGACCGACAUUGACGCUGAUGAGCGAAAGCUAGGGGAGCAAACGGG